rnacentral:rRNA from 1 species
GAGUUUGAUCUUGGCUCAGAUUGAACGCUGGCGGCAUGCCUUACACAUGCAAGUCGAACGGCAGCAUGAUCUAGCUUGCUAGAUUGAUGGCGAGUGGCGAACGGGUGAGUAAUACAUCGGAACGUGCCCUGUAGUGGGGAUAACUAGUCGAAAGAUUAGCUAAUACCGCAUACGACCUGAGGGUGAAAGUGGGGGACCGCAAGGCCUCAUGCUAUAGGAGCGGCCGAUGUCUGAUUAGCUAGUUGGUGGGGUAAAGGCCCACCAAGGCGACGAUCAGUAGCUGGUCUGAGAGGACGAUCAGCCACACUGGGACUGAGACACGGCCCAGACUCCUACGGGAGGCAGCAGUGGGGAAUUUUGGACAAUGGGCGAAAGCCUGAUCCAGCAAUGCCGCGUGUGUGAAGAAGGCCUCGGUUGUAAGU